rfam:Pan troglodytes isolate Yerkes chimp pedigree #C0471 (Clint) chromosome 9, whole genome shotgun sequence.
GCUGGGUGUGGUGGUGCACGCCUGUAGUCCCAGCUACUCAGGAGGCUGAGGCAGGAGAAUUGCUUGAACCCAGGAGGCGGAGGUUGCAGUGAGCCAGAUCGCACCACUGCAUUCCAGCCUGGGUGACAAAGCAAGACUCUGUUUCAA